rfam:Schistosoma rodhaini strain Burundi genome assembly, scaffold: SROB_scaffold0008777
AUCCAGCUGAAGAGUCCGAAAUAGGACGAAGUGUCGUGCGUCCUGGAU